AUAAAGCGAAAAUCUUUCAUUAGCCGUAGCAGUGACAGAUUCUGUUGAUUACUUUGAUUAAAAACGCAUAAAAGUGCCGAAUUACCGUUGGACUUUUUACGAUUUUUCAAUGCCGCUUUUCUCAUUUCAACAAAAACGCAAAUGGGACGGACUUGCUAUGAGCGGCAGCUCACCGUGGGCCAGUUUCUGGAUGAGGUGCCGGAGAAAAAUCGGAAAAAAUGAGCCACACACAAAACUUUCGAGGCCGGAAAUUAGCAAAAUUUUGCUCAAAUUUGACCAGCUAAAAUCUUAGCAAUCAAUUUAGCAAUUUUUUCGAACUAAAAUUUUAGCAAACGAGAGACAAAUUUAGCCGCCGCAAUUUUUGCUCACUUUUCUAGCAAAAACCGGAGGAAAAGAUCGCCCCGGACCUGAAAUUUCAAUAUUUAUUGUUUUUCUUUGCAAUUUCUUAGGGAAUGUUAGAUUAUUGAAAAGAAUACAAAAAUAAGUUUACUUUCAAUUGAUUUUUCUCUUUAUUUCGACACUUCAUGGAACUUAUUUAGUUCCGAUCCUGGGAACGCGAAAUGCCAAGCGAUCGACACCGGGGUUGUUCCGGACGCACCGCAUUGAAAUUCCAGCUUUGUCCCUUUCGAUUUUCGGACUGUUGCAAUUAAAACCCGGAACCCCACCGGCAGCAGCAACCUAAUAGGAAAAAAAAAACAUAAAUUAAAAAACGGAAAACAUUUUACACUUCUUGAUCGACUUUUACCUGUUUGCAUCCACUAUCGAUUUGGCUACCAAUUUGUCGUGAACUUAGCCACCAAAAGAACCGCCAGCAUCGAAUUUCCGGAACGGCACUGAAUCCCGUCAGUUUAUUUUUUUGUCUCUACCGGCAGCGGCUGCUAUCUAGUAAUAAGGCGGCUAGAAAACCUUCGUUUUACUAAAAUCGAGCAAGAUAAACUUUCUGAUUACUAAAAUCAAGUAAAUUGUGCUUUUUGCUAACUCAAAAGUAAAAAAAUAUUUUUGCUAACGGAAAGUAACAGCGAAUUUUUGCUAAGUGGAGCCUCGAAAGUUUUGUGUGCAGGAGCUGGAAUCGAAACUCCAGGAGCAGAAGAGCAAGCUGAAGGAAGAGAUGCGCGACAAGGAGGAAAGACUGCGAAUGGUUUAGGAAAUCAUUAGCACCCCGGUUGGGAAAGUGGCUCGUUCCAACAGCGUUGAAGAAUUGACCACACCGGUUACUAGCCGGAUUACUUCAACGAAUGCCAAUGGAGUCCUCUACACUCAAAGAACGAUCAUAGAGGCGUAGCAGUGGCCAAUCCCCGUCAUCGGAGGUCUCGCUCCACGGGCGAACUUUGGCUGGAACACCGUGCUGCAAACCCAGUGCCACUGGGAAGGAUUCUACGAACCUACUACACCAAACGGAAGUCGGUUAACAAACUGAACGAGGUUCGGGACGUUACCCACGCUAAAGCCUCCAAGUACUUCCUCAUUUCCCAGGAGGCUGAUACCGAGGGGGAAGUCGAGACGAAGAUUUUCAAGAGUGACGUGAUGCCGACAACUACCGACCAGAAAUUCGUUUCGCCAACUACUGGACAUAUUUUUAUUCAGAAAAAUAAAAAUACCUCUACUGGAAUCGCUUCGAGACACGAAAAUUAACCACGUACAUGAAUCGCCCAAUUUAGUCGGAUGGUUCCAUAUUUAGCGGCCAAUCAAUCCGGCUAUUUAGUUGGAUUGGGUAGGGUUUUAGGAAAACAAUCGAUUUUUGUGGUCAAUAAAUUCGGCUAUUUAGUCGGAUUGAGUUGGGUGGUAGGAAGAAAAAUCAAUUUUUGCCGUCAAUCAAUCCGGCUUUUUAGUGCGAUUUGGUAGGGUGGUAGAAAAACAAUCGAUUUUAGUGGUCAAUCAAUUCAGCUAUUUAGUCGGAUUGAGUUGGGUGGUAGGGAGAAAAAUCAAUUUUUGCAGUCAAUCAAUCCGGCUAUUUAGUACGAUUUGGUAGGGUGGUAGAAAAACAAUCGAUUUUAGUGGUCAAUCAAUUCAGCUAUUUAGUCGGAUUGAGUUGGGUGGUACGAAGAAAAAUCAAUUUUUCAGUCAAUCAAUCCGGCUAUUUAGUACGAUUGGGUAGGAAUAUCUCAUCAACACUAUCGCCCUACUAAUCAGGCGAUUUAGUCGGUUCCUACACAAUCACGCUACUCAUCACCCUAUUUGAUAGGCCUACGAAAUCGGCUUAUUAAUCGGCUAAUGCCCAGCAAA